AUUGAACGCUGGCGGCAGGCCUAACACAUGCAAGUCGAGCGGAGCGGCGGCCGGGUGAGUAAUGCCUAGGUAUCUGCCUGGUAGUGGGGGAUAACGUCCGGAACCGGGCGCUAAUACCGCAUCCUAUCAGCUGAGCCUGGGUCGGAUUAGCUCGUGGGUGGGGUAACGGUUCACCAAGGCGACGAUCCGUAGCUGGUUUGAGAGGACGACCAGCCACACUGGGACUGAGACACGGCCCAGACUCCUACGGGAGGCAGCAGUGGGGAAUUUUGGACAAUGGGCGAAACCCUGAUCCAGCCAUCCCGCGUGUGCGAUGAAGGCCUUCGGGUUGUAAAGCACUUUAAGUUGGGAGGCGUUACCAACAGAAUAAGCACCGGCUAACUUCGUGCCAGCAGCCGCGGUAAUUC
rnacentral:rRNA from 1 species